rnacentral:rRNA from 1 species
UACGAAGGGGGCUAGCGUUGCUCGGAAUUAUUGGGCGUAAAGAGCUCGUAGGCGGCCUGUUACGUCUGCUGUGAAAUCCCGGGGCUUAACCCCGGGCGUGCAGUGGAUACGGGCAGGCUGGAGGCAGGCAGGGGAGAACGGAAUUCCCGGUGUGGCGGUGAAAUGCGCAGAUAUCGGUAGGAACACCAGUGGCGAAGGCGGUCUCCUGGAGCAGACUUGACGCUGAGGCGCGAAAGCUGGGGGAGCGAACGGG